rnacentral:rRNA from 1 species
UUGUUGCAGUUAAAAAGCUCGUAGUUGAACCUUGGGCUUGGUUAGCCGGUCCACCUUUUUGGUGUGUACUGGACCUAACCGAGCCUUUCCUUCUGGCUAACCUUCUUCCUUUUUGGGAGUUGGCGAACCAGGACUUUUACUUUGAAAAAAUUAGAGUGUUCAAAGCAGGCCUUUGCUCGAAUAUAUUAGCAUGGAAUAAUAGAAUAGGACGUUAUGGUUCUAUUUUGUUGGUUUCUAGGACCAUCGUAAUGAUUAAUAGGAACGGUCGGGGGCAUCAGUAUUCAGUUGUCAGAGGUGAAAUUCUUGGAUUUACUGAAGACUAACUACUGCGAAAGCAUUUGCCAAGGACGUUUUCAUUAAUCAAGAACGAAAGUUAGGGGAUCGAAGAUGAUCAGAUACCGUCGUAGUCUUAACCAUAAACUAUGCCGACUAGGGAUCGGGUGGUGUUCUUUUUUUGACGCACUCGGCACCUUACGAGAAAUCAAAGUCUUUGGGUUCUGGGGGGAGUAUGGUCGCAAGGCUGAAACUUAAAGGAAUUGACGGAAGGGCACCACCAGGAGUGGAGCCUGCGGCUUAAUUUGACUCAACACGGGGAAACUCACCAGGUCCAGACACAAUAAGGAUUGACAGAUUGAGAGCUCUUUCUUGAUUUUGUGGGUGGUGGUGCAUGGCCGUUCUUAGUUGGUGGAGUGAUUUGUCUGCUUAAUUGCGAUAACGAACGAGACCUUAACCUACUAAAUAGUGCUGCUAGCUUUUGCUGGUAUAGUCACUUCUUAGAGGGACUAUCGAUUUCAAGUCGAUGGAAGUUUGAGGCAAUAACAGGUCUGUGAUGCCCUUAGACGUUCUGGGCCGCACGCGCGCUACACUGACGGAGCCAGCGAGUUUAUACCUUGGCCGAGAGGUCUGGGAAAUCUUGUGAAACUCCGUCGUGCUGGGGAUAGAGCAUUGUAAUUAUUGCUCUUCAACGAGGAAUUCCUAGUAAGCGCAAGUCAUCAGCUUGCGUUGAUUACGUCCCUGCCCUUUGUACACACCGCCCGUCGCUACUACCGAUUGAAUGGCUUAGUGAGGCCUCCGGAUUGGUUUAAAGAAGGGGGCAACUCCAUCUUGGAACUGAAAAGCUGGUCAA